GUUUUCUGUUCUUCUGAUUGUAUAUGUGGUAGUAGGCAUUCUUGUAAAUCGUUUUGUUCGUGGUGCUAAUGGACUCGAACUAUUUCCAAACUAUCAAUUUUGGUCCGGUUUCCCAUCACUUGUUAAGGAUGGCAUAUUGUUUUCCAUCAAACCAUGUAAAAAGGAAUCAGAUUACGAUGCUAUUUAAUGUGUCAUCUCAUUUACAAUAGGCCAAUGUGCAAACGAAUUCCUACAAAAUUUAGAUCUUCCAGAGUUAACUUUGCACCUUUGCACCUGUAAAAAAAAGACCUUCCAAAAUUAAAGAUUUUUAUUCUUAAUAUAUAUAUAUAUAUAUAUUUAAACUAUGAAUUUUUGAAACCUAAGAUGUUAAUAUCCUAGAAAACGUAUAUAAGAUUGUGGCCUUAGAUAGCAAUUGUUUUAUAGAAAGUUAAACUUUUUAUUUUGAUAAAACAGGGGUAUUUGUGAAUAUUCAUUUGUAUUUACUAAAGUACUAUUAAUUAGUUUGUAGAGAUUUUAUGUUCAUAACAAGUGCUUAAUUUAUGUUUAUAUUAUUAUCAUCGUCACAGUGGUGUUGCUGUUUGUAGUUGUAAAUCUACUAAUAUAUUCCGAAAUAGCAUCCUCAGUUUCCAUAUAACAUAAGUCUUCCAUACAACACAAAUUCUAUAUUUGUAGAGUUGUUUAUUGGAGCAUUUUCUCUAUGAUUGGAGCAACUCAUAUUGAUGUAAUAUACAAAUUCCAAAUAAGUUUGAAUUUGGUUUAGGCUGCAUUCCGGCGAGAGGUACACAAGGUGUAUCUUUAUGCCAUUCAUUUUGUAAAAAAACUCAAGUUGCCUGGGUUAUCUUACGCCAGAUAACACUGUGUAUAGGCUCUGGUUGCUCAGUUAGGCCUACUAAUUAGAGUCCAGUUAUGUUACAUCUGGUGUAACUCUAUGCUUGCGUAACUGAACCUAGUGUAACACUAUGCUUGUAGGCAUAUACUUUUGAUGUAAGUGUACAUCCGAUGUCCAAGGACCGUAAAGCUGUUUCACAUGGUUUCUGAAAAGGGUCUUAAAUUUAUGUUGCAGUUCACUCAGCCCAUGGAGGAAUAAAAUAGUUCAUUCCUCCAUGAUCAGCUGAGAGCGUUUAAUGUCUAAAAUGCAAAACCCUGUUAGGGAAUCCAAAGACGAAUUCCUGACGACGCACUGGGAACCUGGCAAUGUUAUUUGUAGUGAUUGUUUGUUCGCCGAGUUCACUGGCAGUCAACGAGAGGAAGGACAACCCAUCCGACAGGAUGCUAAAGUCCCCGCCCCACUCAUGGUGCUGCCAUUGGUUGUGAAAAGUCUAAAUGUAGCCUUUAGCAGUGAAGUCUCAGGAUAUUUUUUACUCUGUGUAGUAUAAAAUGCAGUAGGGAAAUGAAAUGUUAUUUUUUAGAUUAUAGUUUUAAUAAAAUAUAUAUUGAGAUACUAAAAUAA